AGGAGGAACAACCCCAGUGGUGGCGGCAGCUCUGGAGCCCUGGAUUCAGUUCCCCCAGUAACUCCGGAGCUCUCCGUCUGCAGGGGCCUGGAUGCUCUGGGGCGGG
rnacentral:pre_miRNA from 1 species